UACGAAGGGUGCAAGCGUUACUCGGAAUUACUGGGCGUAAAGCGUGCGUAGGUGGUGCGUUGAGUCUGUCGUGAAAGCCCCGGGCUCAACCUGGGAAUGGCGAUGGAUACUGGCGCGCUAGAGUGCGGUAGAGGAGAGUGGAAUUCCCGGUGUAGCAGUGAAAUGCGUAGAGAUCGGGAGGAACACCGGUGGCGAAGGCGGGUCUCUGGGCAAUUCCUGACGCUGAGGCGCGAAAGCGUGGGGAGCAAACGGG
rnacentral:rRNA from 1 species